rnacentral:rRNA from 1 species
GGUUAAGCGACUAAGCGUACACGGUGGAUGCCCUGGCAGUCAGAGGCGAUGAAGGACGUGCUAAUCUGCGAAAAGCGCCGGCGAGGUGAUAUGAACCCUUGACCCGGCGAUGUCCGAAUGGGGAAACCCAGUGCAAUCCGUUGCACUAUCGUUAACUGAAUACAUAGGUUAACGAGGCGAACCGGGGGAACUGAAACAUCUAAGUACCCCGAGGAAAAGAAAUCAACCGAGAUUCCCCCAGUAGCGGCGAGCGAACGGGGAGCAGCCCGGAGUCUGAAUCAGCUUGUGUGUUAGUGGAACGGUCUGGAAAGUCCGACGGUACAGGGUGAUAGUCCCGUACACGAAAGCACACAUGCUGUGAACUCGAAGAGUAGGGCGGGACACGUGGUAUCCUGUCUGAAUAUGGGGGGACCAUCCUCCAAGGCUAAAUACUCCUGACUGACCGAUAGUGAACCAGUACCGUGAGGGAAAGGCGAAAAGAACCCCGGCGAGGGGAGUGAAAAAGAACCUGAAACCGUGUACGUACAAGCAGUGGGAGCCUCUUUAUGGGGUGACUGCGUACCUUUUGUAUAAUGGGUCAGCGACUUAUAUUCUGUAGCAAGGUUAACCGUAUAGGGGAGCCGAAGGGAAACCGAGUCUUAACUGGGCGUUAAGUUGCAGGGUAUAGACCCGAAACCCGGUGAUCUAGCCAUGGGCAGGUUGAAGGUUGGGUAACACUAACUGGAGGACCGAACCGACUAAUGUUGAAAAAUUAGCGGAUGACCUGUGGCUGGGGGUGAAAGGCCAAUCAAACCGGGAGAUAGCUGGUUCUCCCCGAAAGCUAUUUAGGUAGCGCCUCGUGAACUCAUCUUCGGGGGUAGAGCACUGUUUCGGCUAGGGGGCCAUCCCGGCUUACCAACCCGAUGCAAACUACGAAUACCGAAGAAUGUUAUCACGGGAGACACACGGCGGGUGCUAACGUCCGUCGUGAAGAGGGAAACAACCCAGACCGCCAGCUAAGGUCCCAAAGUCAUGGUUAAGUGGGAAACGAUGUGGGAAGGCACAGACAGCCAGGAUGUUGGCUUAGAAGCAGCCAUCAUUUAAAGAAAGCGUAAUAGCUCACUGGUCGAGUCGGCCUGCGCGGAAGAUGUAACGGGGCUAAACCAUGCACCGAAGCUGCGGCAGCGACACUAUGUGUUGUUGGGUAGGGGAGCGUUCUGUAAGCCGUUGAAGGUGUGCUGUGAGGCAUGCUGGAGGUAUCAGAAGUGCGAAUGCUGACAUAAGUAACGAUAAAGCGGGUGAAAAGCCCGCUCGCCGGAAGACCAAGGGUUCCUGUCCAACGUUAAUCGGGGCAGGGUGAGUCGACCCCUAAGGCGAGGCCGAAAGGCGUAGUCGAUGGGAAACAGGUUAAUAUUCCUGUACUUGGUGUUACUGCGAAGGGGGGACGGAGAAGGCUAUGUCAGCCGGGCGACGGUUGUCCCGGUUUAAGCAUGUAGGCGGAGGUUCCAGGUAAAUCCGGUACCUUAUUAACGCUGAGGUGUGAUGACGAGGCACUACGGUGCUGAAGUGAUAAAUGCCCUGCUUCCAGGAAAAGCCUCUAAGCAUCAGGUAACACGAAAUCGUACCCCAAACCGACACAGGUGGUCAGGUAGAGAAUACCAAGGCGCUUGAGAGAACUCGGGUGAAGGAACUAGGCAAAAUGGUGCCGUAACUUCGGGAGAAGGCACGCUGAUAUGUAGGUGAAGCCCCUGCGGGCGGAGCUGAAAUCAGUCGAAGAUACCAGCUGGCUGCAACUGUUUAUUAAAAACACAGCACUGUGCAAACACGAAAGUGGACGUAUACGGUGUGACGCCUGCCCGGUGCCGGAAGGUUAAUUGAUGGGGUUAGCGGCAACGCGAAGCUCUUGAUCGAAGCCCCGGUAAACGGCGGCCGUAACUAUAACGGUCCUAAGGUAGCGAAAUUCCUUGUCGGGUAAGUUCCGACCUGCACGAAUGGCGUAAUGAUGGCCAGGCUGUCUCCACCCGAGACUCAGUGAAAUUGAACUCGCUGUGAAGAUGCAGUGUACCCGCGGCAAGACGGAAAGACCCCGUGAACCUUUACUAUAGCUUGACACUGAACACUGGUCCUUGAUGUGUAGGAUAGGUGGGAGGCUUUGAAGCGUGGACGCCAGUCUGCGUGGAGCCAACCUUGAAAUACCACCCUUUAAUGGCUGGUGUUCUAACGU